ACAUCUAAGUACCCCGAGGAAAAGAAAUCAACCGAGAUUCCCCCAGUAGCGGCGAGCGAACGGGGAGCAGCCCAGAGCCUGAAUCAGUGUGUGUGUUAGUGGAAGCGUCUGGAAAGGCGCGCGAUACAGGGUGACAGCCCCGUACACAAAAAUGCACAUGCUGUGAGCUCGAUGAGUAGGGCGGGACACGUGGUAUCCUGUCUGAAUAUGGGGGGACCAUCCUCCAAGGCUAAAUACUCCUGACUGACCGAUAGUGAACCAGUACCGUG
rnacentral:rRNA from 1 species